rnacentral:lncRNA from 1 species
GAAUCAGAGCUGCAGCUGCUGGCCUACACCACAGCUCACAGCAACUCUGGAUCCUUAACCUACUGAUCGAGGCCAGGGAUCAAACUCACAUCUUCAUGGAUACUAGUCAGGUUUGUAACACGCUGAGCCAUAGUAGAAACUCCUGACAGUGUACAAUUUCUAAAGACAUUUAAGACCCCAAAUGACAGUGCUUACAAAUCUCUGAACCACUUUGAAGCAGCAUUACUACAAAGAUAUGCAUUACAGUCAAAGGCUGCCCCACAGCAAAGGCUCAGGGGAGACCUGGCCUGAGUUCUAGUCGUCCUGCUUCCUCCAAGCCACAUUGGAUACACUUCCUCUUCUGCAUCAGGAACCGCUGAUUGUGUACAUGGAGCACCUAGAACUAGGGAGCCCAAGAUGGAUCUUAGCAAGGGCUUUUUGCCAAGGGCUUCUUAAACCAUCAAUCUUGCUUGUUGAUACCCAGUGAUCCACUGAUGCAGAAUAACACUAUUAAUCAGGAAUUUUAUACCUUGAUCAAGGGUAAGUGCCCUGAAGGCCCAUCUCUUACUUCAGUAGAACAACUUGGGCAAAUGCCAGGCCCACUAAAUUUACUCCCAUGGCACUGGCAUUGUAAAACUAAAAGGUACUUGGCCCUAGGGUACCAUGAUCUAGUCAUUUGCCAGAAAGCCAGUCUUGUGGGCAAUGUUUUUGGCUUCAUUUCUUUUAUUUUUGUAUUUUUAAAUUAAAGUAUAGUUUAUUUACAAUAACUGCUAUAAAGAAGUGCCUAUUUCUGCUGUACAGCAAAGUGACCUAGUCAUUCAUUCAUUUAUAUAUAUAUAUAUACAUACACACAUAUAUAUGUAUAUAUAUAUAUAUUUUCCCUUUUUUGUAUUAUCUUCCAUCAUGUUCUACCCCAAGAGAUUGGAUAUAGUUCCCUGUGCUGUACAGCAGGACCUCAUUGCUUAUCCAUUCUAAAUGUAAUAGUUGGCAUCUACUAACUCCAAACUUCCUGUCCAUCCCACUCCCUCCCCAUCCCUCUGGGCAUCCAGAAAUCUAUUCUCUCUCUUUUGUUUUGGCUUCGUUUCUGAACAGAAUGUUUAUCUUCAGAACACGUAAUAGCAUGGCACUUACCAGGCCUCUUUGUGAAGAAAUAAUGGCAAAAAAGUAGAAAAAUGAAAAUAUUUAAAAAUAGAAAAAGUGUAGAAAGAAUGAAAGACAUUAGGUCUAAUACUGAAUCAUGUGAGACAGAGAACAUGGGACAAAUUACUUUUAGGAUCAUGUACUGGUAUAGCAAAUAGGUGUUAUAAAUUAUUUUUGUUCUGAAGUGUUCUUCCUUGGCCCUCAUUUCUUACUCCAGCUUUGAAUAACUUUGCAACCUCACCUACUGAUGUGUUUUAACCAACCAGGUGCAUGCUGAUGACUCAACUCUAUAUAUCUUCAACUCAACUGCUUCCCAGGACACAGUUUAAGACAUCCGAUUCCAGGUUAUUCCUCUGCAAUGUAGCACAGGCUUUAUAAGCUCAACACAUUGGAGAUAGGCUUGUUAUUCUCUCCACGCCCUACCUUUACCCUCAGAUGUACUUUUCUAGCCCAAUUUCCUGUUUUGGUUAAUGGAACCAACACCUUCUAUGUUAUACAACCUCAAAAUCUGAUAGUUUUGACUGUCCCCUAAUUGUCGAUAUUCUUUUAGGAUUUCUUACAUCUACUCCAGAGCCAGGGCUGCAUUUUAGUAUCUCCUCUGUCACAGUUGUGUCGCAAAUUCUAUCCCCCUCUGCCUAGUACUUUUAACCUCCAUUUCUCCCUCCAUAUUUUUGUAGAUCACGUAAUCACUGUACGUUAAGACUAUGUUAUUUCCUUCAGAGAAAAUGGGAUAAUGGCUUCCUAAUGUCAACCCAAAUAAGUUGCUUCCGAUUAGAGCCCGCUCAUGGCUGUCUAUGAUCUGGCUCUAUCCUCUCUCCAGCAACAGGGCUUUUCUCACUGGACUAAACUCAACUGGUAUGACUCAUAUUCUGUGCUAUGCCCAGGUGGUUCCCUCUACCUGGAAUGGGUUUUCCACCUUUCCUAUCUAGUGAUUGUUCAAGUUCAAACUCAGGCCCCAUCUCUUCUAGGAGUUAUAUCAGGGAUUAAGCCUAAGCGGCUCUUUUCAUGAAAGGGCGAGCUAAUAUUCCCCAUGGAACUUCUCAUUUCUGUCUUUUAUAAUCAUAGGAGGGUUGCAGAGAAGCCUUGGUAGCAAAACUUUGAUGCUCAGUUGUCUAGGAAUUAGUGUGUGUCACAGCCAGUGUUUAUUAUUGAAUGCAUUAGAGGGAGAAGCUGCAGGUAAAAUACAAAGGAGCAUAGUACGGAUUGUGCACCAGCAGCAGUGCUUGAGAAGCAGCUAAAAAACUGCAGCACAGAGAUUGGAAAAGGACACAAAGCACAGUGUGUCUCCCACAAGGUGGGGCCUGAGUCUCGCUUGCUUUUUGGCAUAUCAGUGGUGUCAGGUUUGACACUCUCGGAGGAAAGCAGAAGGCUCCACUGAGGGUCCCUCUGUUCAGGUCUUUGAAAAGGAAAUUCCUCAGUUGGUUUAUUAACAGUGAACAUCAACAGGAAAGCAAGCAGGAUCAGAAGGAAUAAAAGAAAAAACAUGAGGAGUGUAAGGGACAUCACCAUGGGCCUCCUGGAAACACCUGAGGAGAUGUCAUGGGGAGCCAUUUACAUCAGCUGGGUAGGGUGAUUAAUAUGUUAAUAAGACCAUAUUUAUACCUACAAACUGCUGGGAUGGGAAGUUUUUCUUUCUACAUAUUCCUGUUCCUGGUGGACCUUGUUUCUUCCUCUGCUGUGCCUCAGCUUUCCGUGUCUUCUGUACAGGUAGAGAAGCACCACUUCACUUCUGUGUCUGUAUGCCUGUCUCCCUGACUAUCCAGCAGGGCCUCUGUAUAAACCCCUCUCUGACAGGGGUUUUAUGUCUGGGAAUUCAACCAAGCACAGAAUGAAAAUAUUCCAAAAACAUUCCAGAAAGUCCCAAAAAGCAGAACUUGAAUUUGUCACCUGGAGGUAACUGUUGACAUAGGAUUAACAUUGUAUGUGCAGCUAUAUGUAUAGCAUUUACAUUGUAUUAAAAAUUAUAAGCAAUCUAGAGAUGAUUUAAAGUAUAUGAGCAGAUGUGCAUAGGUUAUAUGCAAGUACUAGGCCACUUUAUAUAAGGGACUUGAGCAUCUGAGAAUGUUAGUAUCUUUCUGGAUUCUACACCAAUCCCCUGCAGAUACCCAGGCUAUAAACUUGGUAUCUGUACUGUAAGCUCUUUGAGGUCAGGCACCAUGUUCAUUCCUGUUUUUAUCCUCACUGGAUAUAGUGCCAGGAAAAAGAGUAUACAUUCAUUCAUGUUAUUUAACUAGAGCUGAAUUGCCUCAGAGACCACAGAGAGGGCUGGAUGACUGAAGUAUCAUUUUCUAAUUUGCAACUAGCAAGCUUCCUCAUAUGCAAAGAAGUGAUAACUAUCAAAGCACUAUUAAUCAAAAUGUGUUCUAUUUCCUACCUGACUUUACUCAUUAGGUAAAUGAGGGAGGGGAUUUACACGCAGGCAUAAAUCAAAGUUCUUAAUGCUGAAGAGAGUUGUGUAUUGCUAGAACUAGACAAAUGACCCCCAGUUUAAAAGAAACAAUAUUCAAACCUCUCUGUGCAAAGAAUUCUUUCCAAGAACAUCCAAGCUUUCUGUAACCAUGGAGAUGUCAAAACAAGAUUUAAUAUUGAAGGAGGGAGAUUUACUUACAUAUUGAAGCAUUGUUUGUGUCUUUUGUAUCUCUGUUCUGGAACUAUUUAGGUUUUCCUCUUCACCAUGUUAUUGAAGUGUCCGUGCAGUUUAUAUACAUCAAUAAUAGAUCUAGGAAUGGUGUUGGAAAUAAAAAUAAAUGAAAAUGGCUUUAUUUUGAUCACUCAUUAUGAAUAAUAAAUAGUAUUUUAUGGACUAAAACUCCAUCCUACUGAAGAAAAAAGCUAGGAUGUCUAGCUAGGGAGAGUCAGGCAAAAUCUGCCCAUGAUUGAGGGUUUCAGUUAUCACUCGAUACCAUGAGUUUACUGUCUACAACUGUGAGCAUAGCCCUGCCUUUGAUUUUGGAAGGAUAGCUUAAAAGGUUACUGUUUGGAACAUCCCUCUCUUGAGAUAUAGAUGAGGGCAAUGGUAGAAAUGGAGGAAGAAAACUUGAUAUGGAAUAUAUACCCUCCAACGGGGCCUUAGUGUUUUGGAUUCUCCCCUGUGAAAGAGAAGAUGUCUUAGGCAGUGGAGAUAAUUCUCAAAGACUUAUUUAUUGAUAGCCUCAAGACCCAUUAAAAUGUCUUUAGCUUUUCAGUGUUCUUCAGGGCACUGAUGAGUUCUGUACCAGUUCUAUUCAUGUAUACUCAUGAGCUAGUCUAGUAAGUCUAGUAAGAGUAUACAUGUACUAUACCCCUUACAGUUUUCUCUUUAUAAAAUUAGCUCAUUUAAUCCUUACAAAAUUUCUAUUAAAUAGGUAUUGUUGUCAUCACUGUUUUCCCAUGAGGAACCUGAGCCUUUAGGAGCUUAAAGAAUUUCUCCACAGGCAUUCAUGCGGAUAAAUGGCAUAGCUGGAUCUUGAACUCCAUAUCCGUUUAUUAAGCCUUAAUUAUGCUGCAACCACCUUCAUAGAAAUAGAAUGUGGAUUGCAAAAUUUCAACAAAUUUAAACCAUCAAUGAGGAUGAUAAAGUCCUUUCUAGAUGGAUUUUCAACCUUCUGUACUCGUUUCUGUAGUUCACAUUUUCUACAUUGUUUCUGUCUCUGAGCUGGGGAAAGAUACGUUCUCCCUUUUCAAAAAUCCACAGGUCUGGGGGAAGAAAAACUUGUAAGUUUUCAGCUAUGAAAAACCAUGAAAUGUGCUAUAAUAGAAAUAUGUGUACAAUGACAUGAGAGGCCCCCCCAAAAGGAGAGAUUUGCUCUGAUGAGAAUGUCUACUAAUUUUACUUGAACAUGACACAGAGCCUAGAUGGAAGAGUAGACUUUGGCAGAUGUAGAUGGAAAUGCUGAAUCUUACAAGCAAAGGAGCAGGUGUAAAUGCAGCAACUGCUGACCAUGUUUCAGCAUAUCAUAUGUUAGGUGAAGACUGGCGUAAAGGGACAACAGAAAGGGAGGUUAUGGAUAAGGGUAGGCUCUUAGUAAAUACAAAAGAAUUUGGGGAAAAAAAAAAAAAGGAGUUCUUGUCGUGGCUCAGCAGUUAACCAACCCGACAAGCAUCGAUGAGGAUGCGGGUUCUAUUUCUGACCUUGCUCCGCAGGUUAAGGAUCCGGCAUUGCCAUGUGAGCUGUGGUGUAGGUCACAGAUGUGGCUUGGAUCCCACAUUGCGUGGCUGUGGCAUAGGCCUGCAGGUGCGGCUUGGAUUCGACCCCUAGCCUGGGAACUU